AGCAGUGUGGCCUAGUUGAAAGGGCAUGGACCUGGGAGUCAGAGGACCUGGGUUCUAAUCCCAGCUCUGCCA
rnacentral:tRNA from 1 species